CCACAACCCCCUCUUUUCACAGACAAGCCAGGAGCGUGCUUUUUGGGGAAAAGACACUUUCGACUGGGAGGAGCAUUCACACCCUAAGAGCUAGGGGGAGCAUUAGUUUAUAUUCACACACGAACUACCCAACGUUGACCGGCCGCAACCUAUUUCUCCUUGGAGUUAUUUUGGGCUACAACCACGUGGCCAGCUCGUCGGAACUU